rnacentral:lncRNA from 1 species
GCCAAUCGCCGCCGCCCUUUCAGCGACACGCGACAUCCGGGGCGGGCCAAUCGCGACCUUCUUUCCCUCUCUACGCGGCCCCAGCUACCCUGCGUCCCGCCCUCCGCCUGGGUCAGUAGGUCGGGACCCACAGCGAACUUGCUGUUCCAGGAAGGGGUGGGGCCUGGGACUACCCAGUCCUUUCCCCGGGAGGCGAUGAACCUGCUCGCCCUUGUCUCGUGGGGCCUGCGGUGGGCUCCCGCCCGGUGACGCCGGACGAACUACCUAACCUGUGUCUGCCUAACCCAGGGGCCCCCUUCUAUCUACAACAUGGCAAUAAGAGAACCUAUCAGGCCGGGCGCGGAGCCUCAUGCCUGUAAUCCCAUCACUUCCUGAGGCCAAGACAGGAGGAUCUCUUGAGCCUAGGAGUUGGAGACCAGCCUAGGCAACAUAAGGAGACUCCGUUUCUAUUUAAGAUUAACAAACAGGCCGGGCGCGGUGGCUCACGCCUGUAAUCCCAGCAUUUUGGGAGGCCGAGGCGGGCGGAUCACUUGAGGUCAGGAGUUCGAGACCAGCCUGGCCAACAUGGUGAAACCCCAUCUCUGCUAAAAAUAUAAAAAUUACCCGGGCGUUGGUGGCACGAACCUGUAAUCCCAGCUACUCAGGAGAUUGAGGCCUGAGAAUAGCUUGAAUCGGGGAGGCGGAGGUUGCAGUGAGCCGAGAUCCGGCCGUUGCACUCCAGCCUCGGCAACAGAGCGAGACUCCGUCUCAUAAAUAAAUAAAAUAAGUAAAAUAAAGUAAAAUGAACAAAAAACCCACCAGCGCUAUUCUCCCAACCGUGGGGAGAAGGAUUUUGGGACGGAAGACUGCCUCUGUUCUCACCUCCUAAAGCAAGGUGAGGAUCUGGACGGAAGCGCAUCUCCCAAGGUCCUCCCAGUCCCGCCUUCUUCCCUUUACUGCCCUCUCAAGAUCACUUGCCGCUAAAUUUGAAAUUUAUCUUGUCUCUUGGCUUUCAAUGUGUCUUCCCUCCCAGUCUGACAUCGCCACCUGGGCAGGGGCCAGGUCCUGUCUGCACUGGGUCCCCAGUGCCUGGAACGCAGUGAGAACCUCAUAAAUAUUCCCCGUUCUUACACACGUGCUUCUUUUUCUUCCCCAACUACCUUUAUAAUUUGGGGGGACAUAGGUGUGUCACACACCUUUCAAGGCCUCUGUUUCCUCAAUUGUAGGCAACACGAUCGCGUUUGGCUCUGAAAGUCUGGGGUGCCUCUGUCAAGGACAGAGCUGAUGGGAAAAGGAGGCUCAGAAAGGGGUUCCACCUGGGAAGGGCCCAGGGAAGUGGGGGAGGUUCCUGGAAGAACUGCCUGGGAGGUCAGAGCCAUGUAACACUGGCUCUGGAACCAGACAGCUGGGCUUCAUUCCCAGCUCCAGCAUUUCCCGGCUGGGUAACCUUGGGUUAGUUACUAGGCCUUUGCUGGCCUUAGCUUCCUCAUCUGCACAAUGAGGAAUGAGGAUAGCAGUUGUGCCCACAUCAUGAGGGCUUUGAAGUUUAUAUGAGUCAACAUUUGCAAAGUGCUCAGAGCAGGCAUGGCACAAAGGAAGCAUUGUCAAAGGGGUGACUAACCAUUUUCUUAGUGGUGGGCUCUUCAGCCAUCACCUCAUUCCUGGCAGCUAAAAGAUUCCAGUGACAGCUGCCCCUGGGCAGACAGGGACUCCUGAAGAAGAAGACCAUCCUCCUGCCUCCUGAGGCGGGAGGAUCUCUUGAGCCCAGGAAUUUGAGGCUGCAGGCAGCUAUGAUUGUGCCACUGCACUCCAGCCUGGGUGACAGUGAGACCCUCAGCCUCCCCAUAAAAAAGUUACAUAAAUAACUAUCAGGAGCAUCAUGGCGGAUAGUUACAUAAAUAACUAUCAGGAGCAUCCAGCAGGCAGAUCUGGUUCUCUUGGCCCACUCAAUGAUCUCUGAGGUAACUGCAUCAGCAAGAACUCUGGACUAGAACUGGACAACCCGGGAGGAUGGGGCUGAAAUUCCCUAGACAUCGAGAACCAUACUUGAGCAGGGGUCCUGAAGCAAUUAUGGGGAGAGAGAACUUGAUAUUUUUUAAAAAGUUACUAGGCUGGGCACAGUGGCUCACGCCUGUCAUCCCAGCAUUCUGGGAAGGUGAGGUGGGAGGAUCUUUUGAGGCCAGGAGUUCCAGCCUGGGCAACAUAGUGAGACCCCAUCUAUACAAAAAAUUAAAAAUAAAAAAAAUUAGCCGGGUGCAAUGAUGUGAGCCUGUAGUCCCAGCUACUCAGUGGACCAAGGUAGGAGGAUAGCUUGAGCCCAGGAAUUUGAGGCUGCAGUCAGCUAUGAUUGUGCCACUGCUCUCCAGCCUGGAUGACAGUGAGAUCCUGAACCUCCCCAUAAAAAAAUUAUAUAAAUAACUAUCAGGAGCAUUAUGGGGAAAAAC